rnacentral:tRNA from 1 species
GCGGGCGGGGAGCGUUCCCCUCCGAAGGGAAAGGCCGGUGGUUCGACUCCACCCAAGCGCACCA